UGGGAUGUCGCCAAGCGGUAAGGCACUAGACUCUGGAUCUGGCAUUCGUGGGUUCGAAUCCUACCAUCCCAG
rnacentral:tRNA from 1 species